rnacentral:rRNA from 1 species
CGAUUGAGUUUGAUCCUGGCUCAGGAUGAACGCUGGCGGCGUGCCUAAUACAUGCAAGUCGAGCGCGAGCGUUAGAAGCUUGCUUCUAACAAUCGAGCGGCGGACGGGUGAGUAACACGUGGGCAACCUACCUUUGAGAUUGGGAUAACUACCGGAAACGGUAGCUAAUACCGGACAGGACAUGAUUACAUAAGUAGUGAUGUUAAAAGGCGGAUUUAUCUGCCGUUCAAAGAUGGGCCUGCGGUGCAUUAGCUAGUUGGUGAGAUAGUAGCUCACCAAGGCGACGAUGCAUAGCCGACCUGAGAGGGUGAUCGGCCACACUGGGACUGAGACACGGCCCAGACUCCUACGGGAGGCAGCAGUAGGGAAUCUUCCGCAAUGGACGCAAGUCUGACGGAGCAACGCCGCGUGAGUGAAGAAGGGUUUCGGCUCGUAAAACUCUGUUGUUAAGGAAGAACACUUGAGGUAGUAACUGGCCUCAAGCUGACGGUACUUAACCAGAAAGCCACGGCUAACUACGUGCCAGCAGCCGCGGUAAUACGUAGGUGGCAAGCGUUAUCCGGAAUUAUUGGGCGUAAAGCGCGCGUAGGCGGUAGAAUAAGUCUGAUGUGAAAGCCCCUGGCUCAACCAGGGAGGGUCAUUGGAAACUGUUUUACUUGAGUACAGAAGAGGAGAGUGGAAUUCCAUGUGUAGCGGUGAAAUGCGCAGAGAUAUGGAGGAACACCAGUGGCGAAGGCGGCUCUCUGGUCUGUGACUGACGCUGAGGUGCGAAAGCGUGGGGAUCAAACAGGAUUAGAUACCCUGAUAGUCCACGCCGUAAACGAUGAGUGCUAAGUGU